AUUUGGGUAGCUCUUAGAGCAUUAUUUUGAAGAAAUAAAGGAAGAGACACUCUCUCAAAUA
rnacentral:tRNA from 1 species